CUCUAAGUUUUGGGCUUCUCUUCCAUUAGAACUCAGCAUUUUAUCUUAGUACUGGUAAGAUGGAGGAAACAGUGCUCAUGUUUAAAAGUGAAGGGCUGACAAGUUAAAAGAACAUUGCUGUUAUAUGCUCCAGAUGAGUUGAAUGGUAGAACUUCAAGUACAAUAUUGAAGAGGUAUGGAAAGAGUGGACAGCCUUGUCUUGUCCCUGAUUUUAGAGGAAUUGCAUUGAGUUUCUCUCCAUUUAAUUUGAUGUUGGCUGCUGGCUUGCUCUAUAUUGCUUUUAUUAUGUUACGGUAUGUUCCUGUUAUCCCUAGUUUCUCCAAGACCUUUAUCAUGAUGGGCCCCCUUCCCUUUGUAAUAAAAGUUCUCACUUAAGUUCUGUCUGCCUGGCAUGUUUGUCCCUUCGCCUCAGGCACCCUUACCUGUCAUGGAAUCCAC
rnacentral:lncRNA from 1 species